AUUGAACGCUGGCGGCAUGUCUUACACAUGCAAGUCGAACGGUAACAGGUUAAGCUGACGAGUGGCGAACGGGUGAGUAAUGUAUCGGAACGUGCCCAGUCGUGGGGGAUAACUGCUCGAAAGAGCAGCUAAUACCGCAUACGACCUGAGGGUGAAAGCGGGGGAUCGCAAGACCUCGCGCGAUUGGAGCGGCCGAUAUCAGAUUAGGUAGUUGGUGAGGUAAAGGCUCACCAAGCCGACGAUCUGUAGCUGGUCUGAGAGGACGACCAGCCACACUGGGACUGAGACACGGCCCAGACUCCUACGGGAGGCAGCAGUGGGGAAUUUUGGACAAAGGGCGCAAGCCUGAUCCAGCCAUGCCGCGUGCGGGAAGAAGGCCUUCGGGUUGUAAACCGCUUUUGUCAGGGAAGAAAAGGUUCUGGCUAAUACCUGGGACUCAUGACGGUACCUGAAGAAUAAGCACCGGCUAACUACGUG
rnacentral:rRNA from 1 species